rnacentral:rRNA from 1 species
UACGGAGGGUGCAAGCAUUAAUCGGAUUUAUUGGGCGUAAAGGGCGCGUAGGCGGGAAUUUAAGUCAGAUGUGAAAUCCCGAGGCUCAACCUCGGAACUGCAUUUGAAACUGGAUUUCUUGAGGAUAGACGGAGAAAGUGGAAUUCCACAAGUAGCGGUGAAAUGCGUAGAUAUGUGGAGGAAUACCAGUGGCGAAGGCGACUUUCUAGUUUAUUCCUGACGCUGAGGCGCGAAAGCAAGGGGAGCAAACAGG